rnacentral:rRNA from 1 species
UACGAAGGCGGCAAGCGUUGUUCGGAUUUACUGGGCGUACAGGGAGCGUAGGCGGUUGGGUAAGCCCUCCGUGAAAUCUCCGGGCCUAACCCGGAAAGUGCGGAGGGGACUGCUCGGCUAGAGGAUGGGAGAGGAGCGCGGAAUUCCCGGUGUAGCGGUGAAAUGCGUAGAGAUCGGGAGGAAGGCCGGUGGCGAAGGCGGCGCUCUGGAACAUUUCUGACGCUGAGGCUCGAAAGCGUGGGGAGCAAACAGG